GAUGAAGAACGCAGUGAAAUGCGAUAAGUAGUGUGAAUUGCAGAAUUCAGUGAAUCAUCGAAUCUUUGAACGCACAUUGCGCCCCUUGGUAUUCCAUGGGGCAUGCCUGUUCGAGCGUCAUUUGUACCUUCAAGCUCUGCUUGGUGUUGGGUGUUUGUCUCGCCUUGCGCGUAGACUCGCCUUAAAACAAUUGGCAGCCGGCGUAUUGAUUUCGGAGCGCAGUACAUCUCGCGCUUUGCACUCAUAACGACGACGUCCAAAAGUACUUUUUACACUCUUGACCUCGGAUCAGGUAGGGAUACCCGCUGAACUUAAGCAUAUCAAUAAGCGGAGGA
rnacentral:misc_RNA from 1 species